rnacentral:tRNA from 1 species
UGGCUCAGUUGGGUAGAGCAUGGUGCUUGAAACACCAGGGUUGUGGGUUCAAUACCCAU